UUUCAUUGCUUUGCUGUGCAUUCUGUCCAAUUCUUUGUUCAAAAUGCCAAGAACCUGGACAAUUUGCAGUCAAGACCCUCCACCGGUAACACAAUUUCCAAAUUGGACUUAACAUUUUCAUUUUUCCAGAGCAGAUUGGAGGUAGAGAAGAAAGAAGGCAUUUCCUUCUUUUCAAAGACACAUCCUCAAAGUUGCAUAUAUUAUUCUUUCUCGCUUUAUAUGUCAGAUGUUAGGUAUAUGGCUACACUUCCUGGAAGCUUCCUGAGAAUUGUAGCAUUUAAGCAGCCAGCAUUCUAAAAUUAGAGUUCUAGUUCUAUGGAGGAAGGGAGACUAUUGGAGUUCCUCUAAGUUUCUGCCAUGAGCAUUUUCAGGUUACGUUGUCUACAUGUUAUCUAAUACCAAAACCUCUGUUAGUAUCUUCUUUAUUAUAUAGAAAAUAGGGAAUUCUAUCAGGCCAUAAAUACAUGUUUGUUUUAAAAUAAAAAUUAAAGUUCUAUUACAUAAAGAUUCUGAAAGAAUAUCUACAAAAUGAAGUUCUGCAUUUGGGAUAUGAACUUCCAAUUAUAUCAUUGGACUUGACUACUCCAUUUCUUUCCACAUUUAAAAAUCAAUCAGGGAGAAGCUAUUUUGAGAACUUAACACAGUAUUUAACAUGGGAUUUCUGAAUGAAGACAGUUUAUGGAUGAAUAAGGCAAAGGAGUUACUGAAUGUCUGGACUUCAGCGAAUUAAGACACUGAGACUUUCUCGCUAUUGAAGCUACCUUGAAACAAUAAACACUAAAUACCUAGUUGGUUUGCCAAAAGCAUAAAAUGUUACUUUUCGUAUUUGAUUUUCUUUCCCAAAUCUAUAAUAUAAUCCAGAAUUUGUACACAUAUUUUUUUCCUGAUAAUUAAACGUGUAGACAAUGGGAAUAUAAGAGUUUCCAAAUCCAUUCAAUCAUUUUAUGAACUUUUUCUACCUUCUUUGUGCUCCUGGGAAAAAAAUCAACACAUACAUUUUAAAAACAUAUUUGAUAACUGAAACUAGUUAACCUAAACCCAAAGAAGGCCUACCCUUCUACCAUGUCCAAAUUAAAACUAAAAUUAUUAACAGUUUGUUUCUUUACAUCCAUGAGAAUUUGCUUCAAUUAUUUCUUUUCAUGCCAGUUUCCUUUUCAAACCCUUCCUUAGACUUUCAUUAUAUGUUUUCUAGUUACAAAGUCCGGAAAAGAUAUGCAUAGAGAUUGGUGUAUCCAGGAACAGAAAA
rnacentral:lncRNA from 1 species